AUUUACUGGCUUCUUGCUUUUAUAUAUGACUACUCUCUUUUUGAGGAUCUAAGCCUUACUAGAAACUGAACACUUAACCAUGGGACAUCAAGUUCUCAUCUGACCAGACCUGCUCAUCAUGAAUUUGGUAUUAUUCUGACCAACAAGCUGUGAAGUUGGGCAUGAACAGCAGCAAAUAGAAGUAAUAUGUGUAUGAUCAGGCUGGAGCAGGCCCUGAAGGCACAAGGUUCAAGUUAUCAAGGAGAAGAGCGAACAUCACUCAAAGACCUUUCCUCUUCUUCCAGCAAGAAGGCCCUUACCAGAUGCCAGCACCUUGAAAUUGGUCUUUCUAGCCUCCAGAUCUGUCAUUCAUGCAUCUGUGAUCAGCUGCCAGACUGGGUGGAGGCUGGUUCAUCUGAAAUGACUUCAGCUAGGAUGACCUGACUCUGCUUUUUUACAUUUAAGUAUCUUCUGAGGCUUAUUCACACGACAGUAAUAGAGAUCCAAAAGCAAAAUGGGAAAUAUGCAAAAUCUUUCAAGGGCUAGGCACAAAAUUAGUCUGUUAUUUCUACCACAUUUUACUAAUCAAUGCAAGUUAUAAGGUCAGACAAGAUUUAAGGGGUGAAGAAAGAGUGGCAAAGUUGCUAUACAAAGAGGAGUGGAUAUAGGAAGAGAUAAAGAAUUAUGGUUAUUUUUGCAAUCUCAUGCAAAUAGCAUUUUUGCAAUAUAAGUUUAGUUUCAUGGCUUUAUUGAGAAAAGCUUAAAUCAAAAACUGCAGAAUCUUUUUGUGUGUGUUUUUUAUUCCCCUGGCACAUUCUAGCAUAUACUUACAAAUACCAAUUCCUGGCAUGGAUGCAGAUCAACUGCUAAUGAGAAUGCGAAAUAAUACGGCCACUUUGGAAAACAGUUUGAUAAUUUCUUAUAAAAAGUUAAUUAUACACUUACCAUGUAAGCCAGUAAUCCAACUACUGAGUUAUUUAACCAAAUGCAAUGAAAACUUAGUUUUCACUGGCAUAAAAUUCUUUCCCACUUAUUAAGCCUUCAAUCCCUUGACUUUGUCUGUUGCAGAUAGAAAAAUUAAAAGACAUAGAGGCUAAAGCCAAAUCUAGCCUACUGCCUGUUUUUGUUAAUAAAGUUUUAUUGGAACAUUGCCAUGCCAUUUGUUUACACAAUGUUUAUGACUACUUGUGUGCUGUGCUACAAUGACAGAGUUGAGCAAUUGUGCAUGAGCUCACAAGGCCCUCAAAGCCUAAAAUAUUUACUAUCUAGCCUUUUACAUAGCAAGUUUGCUGACUCCUAGAGGAUAGGAUUUUGUAAUUGUUUUUUAACAGGUCAGUGUUGAAAAUCAUGUUAAUCACUUAUGAUUGUGUUCCAUUGGCCAGAACUAUGUCUCAUGGUCACACAGUGUAGGCUGGGCUAUUUACAAUACUUGCAUGCAUAGGAAACAGAGGAAACUGAUAUUUGUAACUCUGUUAUGUCUUCACUGAUUUUCCAAAGACUGUAUCAUUCUGCAUCUACUCUCACAUACCACUUUUAAAUAUGUGUGUUUUUGACACAGUUGUAGGUUGUACAUUACUAUUUCUUUUCAUGUUUAACCCUUUAACUGGACUUGGUAAAAAAAAUCAUCUUAUUCAUCUCUAUAUUUUUAGUGUCAUACUCAAUUGAAUAAAGUUAAUAAAGGAAAUAAUGCAAUCAGG
rnacentral:lncRNA from 10 species